rnacentral:rRNA from 1 species
UACGGGGGGGGCAAGCGUUGUUCGGAAUUACUGGGCGUAAAGGGCGCGUAGGCGGUCAGAUAAGUCAGCUGUGAAAACCUCGGGCUUAACCCGAGGCCUGCAGUUGAAACUGUUUGGCUGGAGUGUGGGAGAGGAGAGUGGAAUUCCCGGUGUAGCGGUGAAAUGCGCAGAUAUCAGGAAGAACACCAAUGGCGAAGGCAGCUCUCUGGGACGGUACUGACGCUGAGGCACGAAAGCGUGGGGAGCAAACAGG